CUAGUCGAGCGACCGGGCAUGGAUAAUAAUCGGGCAUAAGCAUACUACCGAAGCUAUGAAUUUGUAUGAAUAAUACAUCUGGUAGGGGAGCAUUCCAGCGACGUCGAAGCGGUUCUGUGAGGAGCCGUGGAGUUUCUGGAAAAGCAAAUGUAGGCAUAAGUAACGAUAAAGGGGGUGAGAAACCUCCUCGCCGAAAGACUAAGGUUUCCUGAUCAACGCUAAUCGGAUCAGGGUUAGUCGGGACCUAAGGUUCAGCCGAAAGGCGAUACCGAUGGCAAACAGGUUAAUAUUCCUGUACCUGCAUAUCAAUAAAAGUGACGGAGAGACGAGGUGGCUGGGGGCUGACGGAAUAGCCCGCUGAGCCGAGCCUUCGGGCAAAGCGAAGUCAAGCAGUUUCUUCCAAGAAAAGCGAGAUAUGCAGCUCGUACCACAAACGGACACACGUAGUUGGGUUGAGUAUACUAAGGCGCUCGAGUGAUCCACGGCUAAGGAACUCGGCAAAUUAACCCUGUAACUUCGGGAGAAAGGGUCCCCAUCGUAAGGUGGGGCGCAGAGAAAUGGCCCAGGCGACUGUUUACCAAAAACACAUGGCUAUGCAAAAUCGAAAGAUGACGUAUAUGGCCUGACACCUGCCCGGUGCUGGAAGGUUAAGAGGAGAUGUCAGCGUAAGCGAAGCAUUGAAUUGAAGCCCCAGUAAACGGCGGCCGUAACAAUAACGGUCCUAAGGUAGCGAAAUUCCUUGUCGGGUAAGUUCCGACCUGCACGAAUGGUGUAACGAUCUGGGCACUGUCUCGGCCGUGAGCUCGGUGAAAUUGUAGUAUCGGUGAAGAUGCCGAUUACCCGCAACGGGACGGAAAGACCCCGUGAACCUUUACUGCAACUUAGCAUUGAUUUUGGGUAAGUGAUGUGUAGGAUAGGUCGGAGACUAUGAAGCGGCGUCGCCAGGCGUCGUGGAGUCAUCCUUGAAAUACGACCCUUUGCUUAUCUGGAGUCUGACUCGGGAAACUGAGAACAUUGCUUGGUGGGUAGUUUGACUGGGGUGGUCGCCUCCAAAAGAGUAACGGAGGCUUCCCAAGGUUCCCUCAUGUCGAUUGGUAACCGACAGCAGAGUGUAAUGGUAUAAGGGAGCUUGACUGUGAGAGAGACAACUCGAUCAGGUACGAAAGUAGGGCAUAGUGAUCCGGUGGUUCCGCAUGGAAGGGCCAUCGCUCAAAGGAUAAAAGGUACUCCGGGGAUAACAGGCUGAUCGCCGCCAAGAGCUCAUAUCGACGCGGCGGUUUGGCACCUCGAUGUCGGCUCGUCACAUCCUGGGGCUGGAGAAGGUCCCAAGGGUUCGGCUGUUCGCCGAUUAAAGUGGCACGCGAGCUGGGUUCAGAACGUCGUGAGACAGUUCGGUCCCUAUCUGUUGUGGGCGUUGGAGAUUUGAGAGAACCUGUCGUUAGUACGAGAGGACCGCGAUGGACAUACCGCUGGUGUAUCUGUUGUUCCGCCAGGGGCAGCGCAGAGUAGCUAUGUGUGGAAGGGAUAAGUGCUGAAAGCAUCUAAGCACGAAGCCCAUCUCAAGAUGAGAUCUCCUUGAGGGACGUUAAAGACGAUGACGUUGAUAGGCUGUAGGUGUAAAGGUGGUAACAUCAAAGCCGAGCAGUACUAAUUACCCU
rnacentral:rRNA from 1 species